rnacentral:lncRNA from 1 species
AUGAAAAUUUUGGAAUUAAAACACUUAACAAAAAAAUUUGAUCAGUAUAUGAAUAUGGGUGUGUGUGUGCGAUCGAAAGAAAGGGGCAGGGGAGAAACCCUUCAUCCAAAAAUCCUACAAAUUGACCAAAUUGAGAAGGUUAAGAACUGAAUUCUAAAUGCAUGAGUUAGGAAUGUUCAUCCUCUAAGUGAAUUUGGUAUCAAGAUUUAAAGAAGGCGGCUCGAGUCAGCCGGGACGCAAACAAGACAAGACAAAUGUAAGUUUAAUACUUACUCAACUAGUAGAAAAUAUAGAUAUUAAAGUUUGAUUGAGCAUUGAUGUUUUUUUGUGAUAUGGAUUGUAUGUUGGAAUGUCAUGUAGUCGAACCUCCUCUGGAGCAAAUCUUGGACCGGAGGAACGAACACACAUCGCGCCGUUUAAUUGCUUUCGCUCGUCAAGUUCUA